GACGAACGCUGGCGGCGUGCUCAACACAUGCAAGUCGAGCGGUAAGGCCCUUUCGGGGGUACACGAGCGGCGAACGGGUGAGUAACACGUGGGUGACCUGCCCUCAGCUCUGGGAUAAGCCUGGGAAACCGGGUCUAAUACUGGAUAUGACUCCAUGACGCAUGUUGUGGGGUGGAAAGCCUUGUGCGGCUGAGGAUGGGGCCCGCGGCCUAUCAGCUUGUUGGUGGGGUGAUGGCCUACCAAGGCGACGACGGGUAGCCGGCCUGAGAGGGCGACCGGCCACACUGGGACUGAGACACGGCCCAGACUCCUACGGGAGGCAGCAGUGGGGAAUCUUGCGCAAUGGGCGAAAGCCUGACGCAGCGACGCCGCGUGAGGGAUGACGGCCUGGUGUAACU
rnacentral:rRNA from 1 species